UACGUAGGGUGCAAGCGUUAAUCGGAAUUACUGGGCGUAAAGCGUGCGCAGGCGGUUUUGUAAGACAGAUGUGAAAUGCCCGGGCUUAACCUGGGAACUGCAUUUGUGACUGCAAGGCUAGAAUCUGGCAGAGGGGGGGUAGAAUUCCACGUGUAGCAGUGAAAUGCGUAGAUAUGUGGAGGAAUACCGAUGGCGAAGGCAGCCCCCUGGGCUAAGAUUGACGCUCAUGCACGAAAGCGUGGGGAGCAAACAGG
rnacentral:rRNA from 1 species